rnacentral:rRNA from 1 species
CCUGGCUCACGAUGAACGCUAGCUACAGGCUUAACACAUGCAAGUCGAGGGGCAGCAUGGUCUUAGCUUGCUAAGACUGAUGGCGACCGGCGCACGGGUGAGUAACACGUAUCCAACCUGCCGUCUACUCUUGGACAGCCUUCUGAAAGGAAGAUUAAUACAAGAUGGCAUCAUGAGUCCGCAUGUUCACAUGAUUAAAGGUAUUCCGGUAGACGAUGGGGAUGCGUUCCAUUAGAUAGUAGGCGGGGUAACGGCCCACCUAGUCUUCGAUGGAUAGGGGUUCUGAGAGGAAGGUCCCCCACAUUGGAACUGAGACACGGUCCAAACUCCUACGGGAGGCAGCAGUGAGGAAUAUUGGUCAAUGGGCGAGAGCCUGAACCAGCCAAGUAGCGUGAAGGAUGACUGCCCUAUGGGUUGUAAACUUCUUUUAUAAAGGAAUAAAGUCGGGUAUGCAUACCCGUUUGCAUGUACUUUAUGAAUAAGGAUCGGCUAACUCCGUGCCAGCAGCCGCGGUAAUACGGAGGAUCCGAGCGUUAUCCGGAUUUAUUGGGUUUAAAGGGAGCGUAGAUGGAUGUUUAAGUCAGUUGUGAAAGUUUGCGGCUCAACCGUAAAAUUGCAGUUGAUACUGGAUAUCUUGAGUGCAGUUGAGGCAGGCGGAAUUCGUGGUGUAGCGGUGAAAUGCUUAGAUAUCACGAAGAACUCCGAUUGCGAAGGCAGCCUGCUAAGCUGCAACUGACAUUGAGGCUCGAAAGUGUGGGUAUCAAACAGGAUUAGAUACCCUGGUAGUCCACACGGUAAACGAUGAAUACUCGCUGUUUGCGAUAUACGGCAAGCGGCCAAGCGAAAGCGUUAAGUAUUCCACCUGGGGAGUACGCCGGCAACGGUGAAACUCAAAGGAAUUGACGGGGGCCCGCACAAGCGGAGGAACAUGUGGUUUAAUUCGAUGAUACGCGAGGAACCUUACCCGGGCUUAAAUUGCAGAUGAAUUACGGUGAAAGCCGUAAGCCGCAAGGCAUCUGUGAAGGUGCUGCAUGGUUGUCGUCAGCUCGUGCCGUGAGGUGUCGGCUUAAGUGCCAUAACGAGCGCAACCCUUGUUGUCAGUUACUAACAGGUUCUGCUGAGGACUCUGACAAGACUGCCAUCGUAAGAUGUGAGGAAGGUGGGGAUGACGUCAAAUCAGCACGGCCCUUACGUCCGGGGCUACACACGUGUUACAAUGGGGGGUACAGAGGGCCGCUACCACGCGAGUGGAUGCCAAUCCCCAAAACCUCUCUCAGUUCGGACUGGAGUCUGCAACCCGACUCCACGAAGCUGGAUUCGCUAGUAAUCGCGCAUCAGCCACGGCGCGGUGAAUACGUUCCCGGGCCUUGUACACACCGCCCG